AUUCAAGAACGACAGAACUCUUUUCUCUCUAUCCCCCUCUCAAAACCCUAGCGCCGCCUCUUCUUCCUACGUCUCAUUUUCUCUAAAACCUAAAUCUUUAACAUCGCUUAAUCGCCGUUACCACCACAAACUUGGAUUAUCUUCUUAUUUUUGGUGGUGGAGACAACCGACUUAAACCCUAAGUUAAGGUUAUGAUGAUUCGAACAAAAUGGAAAGAGCUUUGUUUGAGAGAUGUACCAUGAAACUUGGAUCUUGAUGAGGUGUCUUUCGUCUUUGAGGAUUUGAUCAAUCUUAUACACAUAAUCAUCCUCUCCAUAUUUUUCUACAACUGCUAUCAAGAUAUCCACUAUCAAAGAUUAAUAAAACCUAAUACAAAUGAGGAAUUGGGGAUUUUAGAUAUUUGUGAAUAUGAAACUUCAAACUCUAAUUCGAAGAAGAUCAUGGAUAAACACAACCAUUUGAUCAAUGAAUAGAUAGAGAUGCAUGUGACAAAUGGCAGGCGAUGGUGGCCAUCCCUUUCGGUGAGUCGACAAGUUCUGUUAGUUUGAUAACGAAAGUACAGGGGUGCAUAUUGCAAGAAGAAAAGGGUAGUUUGGUCUUUUCACCAACAGUCAAAAUGUCAAACUAACAAAACUUGACGACAGCCGCGAUACUGUACCGGAGAGUCCAGCCGCUCAGCAUCUGAUUUGGAUCGUUCAACGGAAUAUAACCGGAGAUGGGAACCAGAAUCUAUCUCUGAAUCUCUGGAGGUUAUACCGAUCUUAAACUGGGAAACCGAGGUUCAGCAAGCUCGCAUUAGCAUUCAUAAUAUUUUCAUCAGUCGCAAUAUUCCCAGCCGUAUUUAUACCAUCUACACCCUCCAUGUGGGUCGCAGGCAUGAGCUUCGAUUACGCAUUGGGAUUUUUACUAAUAAUGUGUGGUGUCACUAUCGGCGCAUCGCUUCCUUAUUUCAUCGGUUCCCUAUUUUACAACAAAAUUCAAGGUUGGUUAGAAAGAUAUCCGAGGAAAGCAUCGGUUAUACGGUUAGCAGGUGAAGGAGAGGCGUAUGAUCAGUUUUGAGCUGUGACGUUAUUGAGGAUAUCCCCGUUUCCGUACGCUAUUUACAAUUAUUGUGCGGUGGCUACCGGUGUUAAGUAUGGUCCUUACUUAUUUGGCACACUUCUCGGGAUGGUGCCAGAGGUUUUUGUCACAAUUUACACAUAAGUUUUUUGUGCUUUUUUACCUUGGUUAAAAGCAGCAUCACGUUUGCGAGUAGGGGUGCUAAACAGGUUGUGUUCGCGGGUUGGCGGGUUCAACCCAACCCGCCAACCCAAAAAUCGUGUCAUACGAUAGUGACGCCGAUUCCGGUUCCGAUGACGGUGAUGGUGAAGGUGAAGUUCAGAGCAAUGGUAACGGUUUGCUCAAUGGUUUCAAUGAUUUGGAGAAAGUUCUGCCGAUUAAGAUGGGAAUAUCAACAUUCUAUGUUGGAAAGUCAAAGUCAUAUGGAAGCCUAGCUGAUGCGGUGUCCGUUCCGUUGAUUCAAGACAUUGUUAAGCCGGAAGAUGCGUACAGCCGCAAGCAAAAGAACAUGCUGGCUCAUCAUGCUUUGUUUGACAAGAGUUGUGAACGAAUGGGAUAGCAAAGAGGCUUGCCAGAAACGGGCAUGAGAGCGCUGACCAAAGUGCUCUCGGGUCUACGGUGGGUCGAUCGCUCCAGCUGUUGCCGUGUAACAAUAGGAAGUUGUUGACGAAUGCUAGAAUGUAUAUGAGCUCGCCGUGGAAAUCGCUGUCGCUCUUGGAUUUGCAGGACACGGGUAACAAAGGGAAUGAGGUGGAUGGGCAUUAGGUCUGGUUAUGUUAAGAUAGCAUCUGAAACUGAAGAUAGUUGUUUAUGGUGUUAGGGGUCUGUUUAUGUUUUAUCCAGAAAUCAUAGGAUGUCAACUGGUUAUGCUUUGUAUCCGGUUGUUUAUAAAAAGUAUGAUAUAAAAAGUACUCAAUUUUUUCUUUUUA